AUGGAGGCGGCCAGGGUGGGGUCGCAGAGCCGCCACCUGUACGGAGGCGGGCUGGGUGGCGUGCUUGAGCAGGCCAGGCGCGAGAAGAGGGUGUUCGGCUGGGACCUCAAUGAUUGGAGCUGGGACAGCGAGCGCUUCGUCGCCACGCCGGUGCCUGCGGCAGUGGGGAAUGGCCUGUCGCUCAACAGUACGCCGUCUUCCUCAGAGGAAGCCGAGGCUGAGGUGGCUAGGAAUGGUAACGGGAGAGUUGACUCUGACAAGAGGAAGCGAGUGGUUGUCAUUCAUGACGAUGAAGAUGAGAAGGAUGAGGACCCGGUGGGGAACAGUAACAAUGUGCUCAGCUUGAGAAUUGGUGGCAGCUCUGUUGCCGGCGGAACGGCGGAGGAUGGCGGUGUGAACGAGGAGGACAGAAAUGGUAAGAAGAUCAGGGUGCAGGGCGGAAGCUCAAGCGGUCCGGCGUGUCAGGUGGAGGGCUGCUGCGCGGACCUUAGCGCGGCAAAGGAUUACCAUCGGCGGCACAAGGUCUGCGAGAUGCAUGCCAAGGCCAACACCGCGGUGGUCGGAAAUACCAUCCAGCGGUUCUGCCAGCAAUGCAGCAGAUUUCACCUUCUUCAAGAAUUUGAUGAAGGAAAGCGCAGCUGUCGCCGGCGUUUAGCAGGCCAUAAUAAACGUAGGAGGAAAACCCGCCCUGAAAAUGCUGUUGGUGGGACUCCUAUUGAGGAAAAAGUUAGCAGUUAUUUAUUGUUGAGUCUUCUUGGAAUAUGCGCCAAUUUGAACUCUGACAAUGCUGAGCAUUUACAAGGUCAGGAGUUGCUAUCCAAUCUUUGGAGAAACUUGGGGAAUGUUGCCAAAUCAUUGGAUCCAAAAGAACUUUGUAAACUCCUGGAGGCGUGUCAGAGCAUGCAAAAUCGAUCAAAUGCUGGGACCUCUGAAGCAGCUAAUGCUUUGGUGAAUACAGCUGCAGCAGAGGCUGCAGGACCAUCUAACUCUAAGGCUCCUUUUGCGAAUGGUGGUGACUGCGGGCAGACGUCAUCUGCUGUUCUACCAGUACAAUCAAAUGCUACCAUGGUGGCAACUACCGGUAGUGUGUUCACAGAGACUCCAGCAUGCAAGUUUAGGAAUUUUGAUUUGAAUGACACUUGCAAUGAUAUGGAAGGCUUUGAGGAUGGUUCAAAUUGCCCAUCAUGGAUACGACAAGAUUCUACUCAAAGCCCACCACAGACUAGUGGUAAUUCGGAUUCAACAUCAGCUCAGUCAUUGUCAAGCUCAAAUGGAGAUGCUCAGUGUCGGACUGAUAAAAUUGUAUUCAAGCUUUUUGAGAAAGUUCCUAGUGAAUUACCUCCAAUUUUGCGAUCACAGAUCCUUGGUUGGUUGUCCAGUAGCCCUACUGAUAUAGAGAGCCAUAUUAGACCUGGCUGUAUUAUCCUGACAGUUUAUCUUCGUUUAGUUGAGUCUUCAUGGAGGGAGCUCUCUGAGAAUAUGAGUGUAUAUCUGGAUAAGCUCUCAAGUAGUUCCGCUGAUAACUUUUGGACAUCUGGUUUGGUAUUUGUGAUGGUACGGCAUCAAAUUGCUUUCAUGCACAAUGGUCAAGUUAUGUUGGACAGACCACUGGCACCUAAUUCUCACCAUUACUGCAAGGUCUUAUGUGUUAGUCCGGUUGCUGCUCCUUAUUCAGCAACAGUUAAUUUCAGGGUAGAAGGCUUCAACUUAGUCAGUUCUUCCUCAAGGCUCAUUUGCUCAAUUGAAGGGCGUUGUAUAUUCGAGGAGGACACAUCUAUUAUGGCUGAUGAUACUGAGGAUGAAGAUAUUGAAUAUCUCAACUUUUGUUGUUCUCUCCCUGGUACAAGAGGAAGAGGAUUCAUAGAGGUUGAAGAUAGUGGAUUUAGUAAUGGUUUCUUCCCCUUCAUAGUUGCUGAGCAGAAUGUAUGCUCUGAGGUUUGUGAGCUGGAGAGCAUAUUUAAGUCAUCCAGUCUUGAGCAGCCAGACAAUGACAUUGCCAUGAAUCAAGCUUUAGAGUUUCUACAUGAGCUGGGGUGGCUUCUUCAUAGAGUUAACAUAAUUUCUAAGCAUGAUAAAGUGGAGCCGCCUGUACCUGCCUUUAACCUGCUGAGAUUCAGGAAUCUUGGUAUAUUUGCGAUGGAGCGGGAGUGGUGUGCUGUGACCAAAAUGCUGUUAGAUUUGUUAUUUGAUGGAUUUGUUGAUGCUGGGUUGCAGUCUCCCAAAGAUGUGGUAUUGUCAGAAAAUUUGCUACACUCUGCUGUGCGAGGAAAAUCUGCCCGAAUGGUUAGAUUUCUGCUGACAUACAAGCCGAACAAAAACCUGAAGGAAACUGCAGAGACAUACCUAUUCAGACCUGAUGCUCAGGGCCCUUCUGCAUUUACGCCCCUCCAUAUAGCAGCCGCUACUAGUGAUGCAGAGGAUGUAUUGGAUGCAUUGACUGAUGACCCUGGACUGGUGGGACUCAAUGCAUGGAGAAAUGCGAGAGACGAGAUAGGCUUUACCCCUGAAGAUUACGCUCGCCAAAGUGGCAACGAUGCUUACAUCAAUCUUGUCCAGAAGAAGAUUGACAAGCAUCUUGGCAAAGGUCAUGUUGUCCUCGGCGUUCCUAGCAGCAUGUGCCCUGGAAUAACCGAUGGGAUGAAGGCAGGUGAUAUCAGCCUUGAGAUCUGCAAAGCCAUGCCAAUGACAACAACAUCCGCCGCAAGGUGCAACAUCUGCAGUUGUCAGGGUAAGAUGUACCCCAAUUCCUUAGCCAGGACCUUCCUGUACAGGCCAGCAAUGUUCACUGUGAUGGGUGUCGCCGUGAUCUGCGUUUGCGUCGGAAUACUCCUCCAUACCCUCCCCAAGGUUUAUGCUGCACCGAAUUUCAGAUGGGAGCUGUUAGAGCGCGGAGCCAUGUGA
rnacentral:rRNA from 1 species